rnacentral:rRNA from 1 species
GACAGAGGGGGCAAGCGUUGCUCGGAAUUACUGGGCGUAAAGGGCGCGUAGGCGGGAUGGCAAGUCGGUCGUGAAAUCCCUCGGCUCAACCGAGGAACGUCGAUCGAUACUGCUGUUCUUGAGGAUUGCAGAGGAGACUGGAAUUCCCGGUGUAGCGGUGAAAUGUGUAGAGAACGGGAGGAACACCGGUGGCGAAGGCGGGUCUCUGGGCAAUUCCUGACGCUGAGGCGCGAAAGCGUGGGGAGCAAACGGG